UUCGAAGAUGAUUUAUACCACUAGUCCCUGCAGCUCUCUCCCCGUGAUCUCGCCGGGGGGACGACCCCUUCGCUCCACACCGCCCAUCUCUGAGCCAAGGAGAUUCAUCUUUUUCCUCGUGAUUUCUUCUAUUGCUUGGAAACCUAUAAACCACUUGGGAAGUUUAAGAAAAGUGAAGGAAGUUAAGAAAAAUUUAUAAAUGCUUUUCCAGAAGCCCAGCAGGGGACCCCAAACCAGCCCUGGGAAGGAGGGGAAGGCUUCCUGGUGGAUGUGAGGUCUGCGCUGAGCUGACAGUUGAUCAGACAUUAACCAGUCAUGCUGUCGGCUGCAGGGAGAUGAGGUAGAGAGGACUCCACGGAGAGGGACACAAGGCUGGAUUCCUAGAAGACAGGAAUUUAUGGUGUGAGAGCUCCAGCCCCCGCAAACCCACAGCCAAGGUCAACAGCACGAGGCGGGCAGCCCUGCCAAGCAAGAAGGGGAGCAGUGACUUUGAGAGCUGGUUGCACAGAAAACCAAAGUACAUGCAUUAAAAAAAAAAAAAAAAAAAAAAAAAAAAAAAUCCCUUCUCUCCCUCACGUUCCCAAACCAGGGGCUUAAACAAAAGUCCCCCAGACUGGCCCGGACAAGGCCCCUUGUCUGGGAAGAGCGAACCUUCUUGGAGACAAACUUCUGAAGCUACUGAUGGGAGGGGGGUGUUCCCCAAGGGUCCGUGGAGGGCCUGAAAGGGGUCCUGUUGCUAGACCCAGCCACAGCAGCCCCCUUGUGGUUCUGGGAGGGUGGUGAGCAGGCUACCCAUGGUGCCCCAUCCUUCUAGCUAACCAAAGACAGCUGAGAUGGACAGAGGAGCCCUGGGCCCUUCGCAAAGCUCCCCCCAACAUGGGAGCCUGAUUUGCGCAGUGUCCCCUCUGCCUUCUGGAGGCUGGGGUCUUCAUGACCAAGGCACAGUGAAUGCCCAGCAGCCCAGGGGCCAGGGCUUCCUAUCACAAGCCUAGAACAUUGCGUCUCUGGAAGGGGAGAAUAAGCUUAUCCCAGCCUCCCCAGGAGGAAAGCAGGGGCCUGGAGACCACCUUGAGUCAAACCCCAGUGCCCUGGUGCUGGGAUGACAGCCCUCACCUUGAUCAUGAACCCGGGCAGGUGCAACAGAACGUCUACCAGUUAUCCGUGCUUCUGACGUUUCUAGCCCCAUGGAGUGUCGGGCACCUGGAAAAGUAAAACAAGGCAGCCUCCUGCCCCAGAGAAGCACCUCCGAGUGGGGAGCAUUGACAUGGAAACAAAUGA